rnacentral:tRNA from 1 species
GGGGAUAUAGCUUAGUGGUAAAGUAUGUGCCUAUCACGCACAAGGUCCUGGUUUUCAUCCCCA